rnacentral:rRNA from 1 species
AGAGUUUGAUCCUGGCUCAGAAUGAACGCUGGCGGCGUGCUUAACACAUGCAAGUCGAACGAGAAAGGGAUUGCUUGCAAUCCUGAGUAGAGUGGCGCACGGGUGAGUAACACGUAGAUAAUCUACCUUUGAGCCCGGGAUAACUAAUCGAAAGGUUAGCUAAUACCGGAUGAAGUUAAUCGGCACAGGUUGAUUGAUGAAAGACUGCCUAUCCAUGGAAGCAGUUGUUUGGAGAUGAGUUUGCGGACCAUUAGCUUGUUGGUGAGGUAAUGGCUUACCAAGGCAAUGACGGGUAGCUGAUGUGAGAGCACGAUCAGCCAGAAUGGGACUGAGAUACGGCCCAUACUCCUACGGGAGGCAGCAGUAAAGAAUCUCCCGCAAUGGGGGCAACCCUGACGGAGCGACACCGCGUGGAGGACGAAGUCCUAACGGACGUAAACUCCUUUUGUGUAGGAGCAAAUUUUUGAGUUAACUACACGAAUAAGGACCGGCUAAUCACGUACCAGCAGCCGCGGUAAUACGUGAGGUCCAAGCGUUAUCCGGAAUUACUGGGCGUAAAGCGUCCGCAGCCGGAAAAAUAAGUCUAAGGUUAAAUUUUGGGGCCCAACCCCAAAUCUGUUUUGGAAACUGUUUUUCUAGGGUCUGACAGGGGUAGGCGGAAUUCCUAUUGUAGGGGUAAAAUCCGUAGAUAAUAGGAAGAACACCAAACGCGAAGGCAGCCUACUGGGUCAGUACCGACGGUCAGGGACGAAAGCGUGGGGAGCGAACGGGAUUAGAUACCCUGGUAGUCC